rnacentral:rRNA from 1 species
AUGGAGGGCAUUGCGAUAGGUGCCCUCUUCAAUAGCAUCUUGCCCAAGCUUCUGCAAAAGAUUAAAGACUCCAAGCGAGAGAAGAUUGCCAUCAGUCGUAGCAUUGACGAUUUCCAGAGGGAGGCUGAAGUGGUGCAGUCUCAACUUGAAGAUGGCUACUCCCAGUCCGAGUAUGAAGGCAAAGCCAAGCUGAUGGGGAUCGACCGACGACUCAAAGUCUUGUGUCAAGAUACACAUGACUGUAUACACCGGUUCCUGCGCAAGGGAUCUAUGGAGAGCUGCGCCGAGUUAGCGGCCAAGAUCCAAGGAUUCAACGACAACGUCCACAAGCUACACGAUGAAGCCCGAGAGUGCAUCACUUCAUUGAAAGCAUCGGCCAAGCCUUCUUAUCCGUAUGUUCCUCCCGACAAGGUAGUGGACAGGCUUGAACGCCUCGCUGAGCUGCAGGAUCUUGUACAGCUACCCAGCAGCCAAGAUGCGCCCAAGGUGAUCUCCAUCCUUGGCUUUGAUGGCCUAGGCAAAACUAUUCUUGCCAGAAAAUUCUAUGAUAGCACCCAAGCCCACGCGAAAUUCCAUCAUCAGGCCUGGGUUACUGCGGCUGGCACCCAUGAGGAGCUUGUCCACAAAAUACUCAAGCAGAUUGACGUUGAAGGAGACCAUGGCCAUGUCGAGGACCUCUAUGGCCUCUGCGACAGACUGCGGGAUUUCCUAAAGGGCAAAGAGUACCUAAUUGUAAUUGAUGACAUGAAGAGGUGUGAGCUAUGGAACGGCAUAAAACAUGCCUUCGAUGAUGUGAAGGGCAUAGUCCUCGUGACGACGACCAUUCAGGCAGUAGCUAAUACUUGCAGCCAAUGCAUUAACGGUUAUGUGUACAAGCUGUCACCCCUUGAUGAACAUGAGUCUUUAGACCUGUUCGAGACAGCGUGUAGUAAUGGGGAUUCUGGUCAUGCGGCAGAAAUAUUGAAGAAAUGUGGUGGUCUACCACUUGCUAUACUCAACGUGGCCAAUUAUUUGCAGCGUGAGGAUGUGUUGUCAAGCGCUGGAUGUAAAGCUGCUUGUAGGGAUCUUGGUGCUCUUCUGGUGCAAGACAAUGGGUCCAAUUUACCAGGAAUGCAACAAGUGCUUAUGAAUAAAUACACCGGUCUGCCUAGUUGUGCUAUCAGAUCCUGCUUGCUAUAUUUUUGCAUGUACAAGCUAAACAUGGAUGCACUCCCCAAGAGGAAUUCUCUGAUAAGGCGAUGGCAAGCGGAAGGAUUUGUUGAUGGAAAAACCGGAUCUGAAUAUUUGAAGACCCUCAUCAACCGCAACAUCAUUCAGACCAUGGAGGUAAACACAGACGGAACUACAAAGAGAUGCCGACCUCCUGGAAUGAUGGCCGAGUACAUUUCUGAGAUUUCCAAGUCCGAGAAUUUUGCUGCUUUGGUGUCUGAUCUAGAAGAGACGCGAAAGCACCGCAUCCGCCGGCUUUCUUUCGAUGAUGGCAGUGCUGCAGAUGACAGAAGAAUUUCAGGCAUGGAUUUUAGUAUUGUUCUAACUCUGGCAAUUUCAGGAAUUGGAUCUGAAGCUAUUCUGAAUUUUGAGAAGUAUGAGCUACUGGCAGUUUUGGAUCUGAAAGAAUGUACAAGUAUCAAUGAUAAUCAUGUCGAAGCUAUAUGCAUGCUGCUUCUGCUGAAAUAUUUGAGCCUAGGGAAGACUAUAGGGAAGAUACCAAGGGCCAUUGGUAAACUAGAGCUGUUAGAGAUGCUCGAGAUGAGGACGACUGAAACAGUAUUAGUGCAUAGAGAAGUCCUCCAGCUACCCAACUUAAAACACCUCAUUGGAAAGUUUCAUCUCAUCUACAAGCGACCGAUUGAGGUCGAAAUUUCCAAGGAUGAGCGCCUGAAGAAGUUCUUGUCAAAUAAGAGUGUCCUAGAGACGGUUACGGCAUAUGUCAGUCGAACUGCCAAAGGAUUUCCGGAGCCGAUGCUUCAUAUGAUGCAGUUGAGGAAGGUUAAAAUAGUUUGCACUUACGAAGCAGAUGACACGGACAAGGAAGUUCUUACAACAGCGAUCAAGAAAUUCAUUCAUAGAGGCACGAACAAUGUUAUUUGUGGCCACAGCCAUUCCCUAUCAAUAAACUUCUAUAAAUGCACGUCCAUCGUUCAUGAAUGUCUAUUAGGUCCCGGCAGUCUUACCUCGCUCAAAUUGCGUGGUGAUUGGAGACCAUUUCUCGGUGCCAAUCCAGAUUUUACAAACAUAUCUGGUAUUACCAAGAUGUGUCUUUCACACACUUAUCUGAGCGGGAAUAAAGUCCUUGCCGGUCUGACAGGUUUGAUAGCACUGGAAUAUCUGAAACUGGAAGAAGAAGAUAUGGGGUCCCUUGAGAUAGAACCCGAAACUUUCCAAAAGCUGACAGGGUUAUGCCUUGUGGGCGAAAAAAGCCUUUACGGCAUAACAAUCAAGCCUAGAGCUCUGCCCCGACUUGUCUCACUUCACCUGAUCUGUCAAGUUAUAGAUAGGACAGUCCAACUUUUGGAUGGAAGACUUGAACGUCUGCGGGAAAUCGCACUCCACUCCGGAGUUGCACCAGAAAUAAAAGAAGCCUGGAAAAAAGCUGCAAAGCUCCAUCCUAACAGGCCCGAAGUUGUUUUCAUUCACAAGGCAUAA